rnacentral:rRNA from 1 species
GACGAACGCUGGCGGCGUGCUUAUCACAUGCAAGUCGAACGGAAAGGCCCUGCUUUUGUGGGGUGCUCGAGUGGCGAACGGGUGAGUAACACGUGAGUAACCUGCCCUUGACUUUGGGAUAACUUCAGGAAACUGGGUCUAAUACCGGAUACGACCUCCUGCCGCAUGGUGUGGGGGUGGAAAGAUUUAUCGGUUUUGGAUGGACUCGCGGCCUAUCAGCUUGUUGGUGAGGUAAUGGCUCACCAAGGCGACGACGGGUAGCCGGCCUGAGAGGGUGACCGGCCACACUGGGACUGAGACACGGCCCAG